rnacentral:sRNA from 1 species
AAUUUUUUUCCUCUUUUUGCAAACUUUCACAAGUUUUCCAAUAGAUUUCACAAGUUUUUCCAAAACAAAAGAAACGAAGGAAACUUGUUGUUGAUACCAUACAUUGUUUUA